rnacentral:rRNA from 1 species
CCGGACGAUUCAGUGGCAUGAUUUGUCAGUGGGAUCAUUACACAAAUAUGAAGGCGGGCUGGAACCUCUCGGGGUUACAGCCUUGCUGAAUUAUUCACCCUUGUCUUUUGCGUACUUCUUGUUUCCUUGGUGGGUUCGCCCACCACUAGGACAAACAUAAACCUUUUGUAAUUGCAAUCAGCGUCAGUAACAAAUUAAUAAUUACAACUUUCAACAACGGAUCUCUUGGUUCUGGCAUCGAUGAAGAACGCAGCGAAAUGCGAUAAGUAGUGUGAAUUGCAGAAUUCAGUGAAUCAUCGAAUCUUUGAACGCACAUUGCGCCCUUUGGUAUUCCAAAGGGCAUGCCUGUUCGAGCGUCAUUUGUACCCUCAAGCUUUGCUUGGUGUUGGGCGUCUUGUCUCUAGCUUUGCUGGAGACUCGCCUUAAAGUAAUUGGCAGCCGGCCUACUGGUUUCGGAGCGCAGCACAAGUCGCACUCUCUAUCAGCAAAGGUCUAGCAUCCAUUAAGCCUUUUUUUCAACUUUUGACCUCGGAUCAGGUAGGGAUACCCGCUGAAC